AACUGUUUUCGACAAUUUCAGUGCAAAUGUUGUUGUGAAUGGAAGCACUGUUAACUUGUGAUUAUGGGAUACAGCCGGACAGGAGGACUAUAACAGGUUAAGACCCUUGAGUUAUCGUGGGGCAGAUGUUUUUAUACUGGCAUUCUCUCUCAUUAGCAAAGCUAGCUAUGAAAAUGUUUCCAAGAAGUGGAUUCCAGAAUUGAAGCAUUAUGCACCUAGUGUCCCAAUUAUUCUUGUUUAUUAAGUACCAUAUUGUUUAGUUGAUGGAACUUCUGAUAAUAGCAUGAACAAGAAUGAACCUUUUUUCAUUUUUUCCCUUUCCUUUUGAUUUUGACG